UAACUCUGGUUUCCCUUCGUUACGCACAAAUCUUUCGCCUUUUACUAAAGAUUUCCGUGGAGGAGAACAGUUGAAUGAGUUUAGAAACCAAUUUUUCGUCGCCCUGCCUUUCGGCGGGGCU